GGGGUAGGAAGAGGGGGCGAAAGGCUGGAGAAUCAGAGGAAGAGGAGGAAUAAGGAAUGCAUAAGAAGGCGAAGAGAGGGAGGAAGAGGAGUCAGAAAGGGGUAGGAAAAGGGGGCAAAGGAUUGGUUGAGAAUCAGAGAUGGAGUUGGAGAAAGAAGAGGAAGAAGAAUCCAAAAAGAAGAGACAAAGAGAGAGAAGGCUUAGAAGAGGAGUAGGAAUAGAAUAAAGAAGAGGAAGAGGAGUCAGAAAGGGAUAGUGGAGAGCUGUUGGAGAAGAGAGUCAGAGAAGAAGAAAGAGGAGGAAGAGAAGGAAUGCAAAAGGAGAAGAGGGGAGAGAAGUGGAGGUCAGGGGAAUGGGGGAGGAGGAGGAGGUUAAGGAAGGAGAAGUGUCGUGUAAAAAUAAAAGGAAUGGAAUGGCGGCAUCCGAAAGGCGAAGAAGAAUUGGGAAAACAAAAGAAAGAUGAAAAUUUCGGAGGAACGGACCUAAAAAUGUGAAGAAGAAAAGAAGGAAUAUCAAGAGAAGGAGCAGGAGGAGGAAAGAAGGAAAAGAAAGAAUGAAAAAGGAGGAGAAAUAAAAGGAAAAGAGGAGAAAACGCACAGUAGUAUAAAAGAGAGGGAAGAAAACAAGGAAAAAAGAAUGAAAAAGGAGGAGAAAUAAAAGGAAAAGAGGAGAAAA